GACGAACGCUGGCGGCGUGCCUAAUACAUGCAAGUAGAACGCUGAAGGAGGAGCUUGCUCUUCUGGAUGAGUUGCGAACGGGUGAGUAACGCGUAGGUAACCUGCCUGGUAGCGGGGGAUAACUAUUGGAAACGAUAGCUAAUACCGCAUAACAGUAGAUGUUGCAUGACAUUUGCUUAAAAGGUGCAAUUGCAUCACUACCAGAUGGACCUGCGUUGUAUUAGCUAGUUGGUGGGGUAACGGCUCACCAAGGCGACGAUACAUAGCCGACCUGAGAGGGUGACCAGCCACAUGGGGACUGGGACACGGCCCAAACUCCUACGGGGGGCAGCAGUGGGGAAUCUUCGGAAAGGGAGGGAAGUCGGACGGAGCAAGGCCGGGGGGUGGAAGAAGGUUUUCGGAUCGAAAAGUCUUUUUUUAAAGGAAAAAGGGGUGGGGGGGGGAAAGUUUCACCCGGGGCCGGUAUUUAACAAAAAAGGGCGGGCUAACAAGGG
rnacentral:rRNA from 1 species